AGACCCAUUUGAAUCAAAACCAAAAUCGAAACCAGACACCAAAGAAACCAUCGGCGCUUGUCUCUCGUCUGAACUCUGAAGCAGCUAAAAUUGAAACCAGACACUCAAGAAACCUUCGGUGGUCGUCUCCCGUCUGAACUCUGAAGCAACCAAAAUUGAAACCAGACACUCAAGAAAUCUUCGGCGGUCGUCUCUCAUUUGAACUCUGAAGCAACUAAAAUCGAAACCAAACACUCAAGAAACCUUCGGCGGUCGUCUCUUGUCUGAACUAUAAAGCAACUAAAAUCGAAACCAAAUACUCAAGAAACCUUCAGCGGUCGUCUCUCAUCUGAACUCUGAAGCAACUAAAAUCGAAACCAGACACUGAGACAAGAAACCUUCGGCGGUCGUCUGAACUCUGAAGCAACUAUUCUCUGGCAUUCUGAAAAACUUAUUCGAAGAAAUUCUGUGGAAAUCACUGAAGCAACUCAUCUCCGGUCGUCCGAAGAAACUCUAUGGAAAUCUAUAAGAUUGGAACUCUGUGGCUCUUCUCUCUGUGGAAAGAAUAAUCCCCGGUGGCUCUUCUCUUCGGCGGUUCGAAGAAACUCUGGAAAUCAGGAUUUUCUUGCUCUUCUCUCUCAGAUGGAAAUAGGAUGAAUGAACCUAGCAAUGAAAAUGCAAGCAAUUCCGAAGAUGUCAAUGAAACAUCUAUGGCAUCAGGAUCUAGUAAGAGGAGGACUAGAUCUAAAGCUUGGGAACACUUAAAAAAAAAAAGAUUGGAUUCUGGGGAGGAGAAAGCUAUUUGUAUAUAGUGGAAAACAAUAUAUGGGUGGAAGUAAAGGGACAAGCCACUUGUUGAGUCAUUUACCAAGAUGUUCUGGAAUGAAGGAAAUGUGCACUAGUAAACAACAAGCUGAAGUGGAGUUUAAAUUUGAUCAAGAUAGGAGUAGAAUAGACUUAGUGAAGAUGAUAAUGAAGCAUGGGCAUCCAUUUAGCAUAGUUGAAGAAGAAUUUUUUUUCAGAUAUUUGUCAAUAAUCUUCAGCCAUCAUUUAGGUUUGUUUCUAGAAAUACAAUAAAGAAUGAUAUCAUAAAGAUUUACAUGGAUGAAAAGAAGAAGUUGUACAAAUAUUUUGAUGGUUUGGAUUGUCAGAUUAGCUUAACUACUGAUAUGUGGAAUUCGGAAUUGAAUUUGGGGUAUUAUUGUUUAACAACACAUUUUAUAGAUGAUGGGGGAGAGCUGAAGAAGAAAGUUAUUGCAUUUAUGGCAAUUGAGUGUCCCCAUGAUGGAAACACUCUAUAUGAAGUUGUUAUGGAGAGGUUGUUGACUUGGAACAUUGAUAAAAAAAUAUGUUCUAUAAUAGUUGACAAUGCCUCUAACAACGAUGUUAUGGUUAGGGAGCUUAGGAAUUGGCUCUAUGUUAAAGGUUCGCUCUCAUUGAAUGGUGACCUAUUUCGUAUGAGACGUGCUGCUCACAUCUUGAACCUUAUUGUGCAAGAUGGGUUGAGAGAAAUAUCAUCAUUGUUGCAUAAGAUUCAAGAAAGUGCUAAAUAUGUAAGAUUGACACCCCAUAAGAAGCAAAAAUUUGACAAUGAAAGAAGCCAAGCAAAAGCAUAAGAGAGGGAUGGUUGUUGAUUGUCCAACAUGAUGGAACUCCACAUAUGAUAUGUUGGGCAUAGCUUUAGAGUUGAGGGAAGCAUUUGUCGACUAGCCAAGCUCGAUCGUGACUAUAAGAAUCUACCAUCUGAUGAGGAAUGAGAGAUGAGGGCAAUGGUACGAGAUUGUUUGCAAGUUUUUUACAUUUGCACAAAAAAUUUUUCAAAUACUACUUCCCCAACCUCAAAUGUAUUUUUCCUAAUAUUUGCACAAUCAAGCUUUUAUUGCUUUAGUGGCUAGAUAGUGAACAUGAGUAUGUUCAUUCAAUGGCAAAUAGAAUGAAGCAAAAAUAUGAUAAAUAUUGGGAUGAAUGUUCUUUGGUGCUUGCAAUUGCCGUUGUACUUGAUCCCAGGUUCAAGAUGGAGAUUGUAACAUAUUACUACAAUCUCAUUUACGGAGAGAUUGCUGAGAGACAUGUUACAAGAGUUAGAGAGGCAAUGAAUGACCUAUAUUCAGAGUAUGUGGGUUUUGAUACAGAGGAUAGGUCACUUGUAUGCUCUAGUAUUGCAUCUUAGCUAUUGAGGAUUUGGGGUGUUUUAGAUUUUUUGAGUGGUUUUUGAUCGGUGGUUGAUUGUAGAGCAUCCGGAAUGUUGUCUAGGGACUCAAAAGUCAGACUUGGAUCUUUAUUUUGAAGAAAAACUAUUUCCUAGAGGUGAAGAGUUUGAUGUUUUGAGAUUCUAGCGAGUUGAUGGUUUAAAGUUUCCGAAGCUCUCUAGAUUGGCACGCGAUAUUUUGGCAAUUCUAGUAUCAAUUGUAUCAUCCGAGGGAACAUUCAGUAUUGGGGGUAGAAUAGUGGACCAGUUUCAUACUUCAUUACUUCUAGAAACAGUGGAGGCUCUAGUUUGUGGGCAAGACUGGUUAGAAGCUCCAACAACAAAAAAAUUGGAUCUUGAAACCGCUGCUACCUCUCCUGUAUGUGUGGCUUCUAUAACUGACACUAUCCGAACAUGAUGUUGGAGCAUAUUCCAUGCAUCUAGGUUGGACAUAUUUUUUCUUCAUAGGAUGGGUUGAAGUUUUGGCAGAAGAUAAGAGAGGCUGUGAGGCUAUCAAUGGACCAGAUAUUCCAUGAUGAGAAGGUUCAUUUUGGACAAGAUUCAAAGGACAAAUGUAGAGAUGCUGUCUGGUGCCACAAAAGCUACUUUUGCUCAACUUCUUUUCCGAAUACCAUCUCUCAUACAGUGUUUUCUUAUAGUGACCAUAGACACAUUGGAUAAUGCAAUAUAUUGGUCAGAUCAAAAGCUUGGUUGCUGUUUUGUAUAUAGUUGGCUCGAAUUUCUCAGACCAGUAUUCCAUUUUAAGGUGUUUUUCCGCAUUGUUUCCAUGACAUCUAUCAUGUAUCCCAUAUAUCUGGCAUAUUAGAUGUAGCAAAGUGGUUUACAGUUAUAGCUUGCAAAAUACCAAGAAAAGGAACACUGAAAUGGUCUCCCAGUUUAUGAUCCUAUCAUCCCAUCUUACACUGUACAACCAGAGUUCUCUGGUUCUUAUCUUGCAUAUUCAGCUUUUGUUCUUCUCA